GGGUGCGAUCAUACCAGCACUAAUGCACCGGAUCCCAACAGUACUCCGCAGUUAAGCGUGCUUGGGCGAGAGUAGUACUAGGAUGGGUGACCUCCUGGGAAGUCCUCGUGUUGCACCCC
rnacentral:rRNA from 1 species